AGAGCGUACGGUGGAUGCCUUGGCACCAGGAGCCGAUGAAGGACGUAGUAGGCUGCGAUAAGCCUCGGGGAGCUGUCAAACGAGCUGAGAUCCGAGGGUCUCCGAAUGGGGAAACCCAGCCACAGUGAUGUGUGGUUACCCGCGCCUGAAUAUAUAGGGCGUGUGGAGGGAACGUGGGGAAGUGAAACAUCUCAGUACCCACAGGAAGAGAAAACAAUAGUGAUUCCGUGAGUAGUGGCGAGCGAAAGCGGAAGAGGCUAAACCAUGUACAUGUGAUAGCCGGCAGGCGUUGUGUGCGUGGGGUUGUGGGGCCUUUCUUCUCAUCACUGCCGUGGUGGGCGAGAGUAAGAAACCGGGUUGUUAGUCGAAGUGGUCUGGAACGGCCUGUCGUAGAGGGUGAGAAUCCCGUAGACGAAAACUUCCCGGCUCUCGUGAAGGGUUCCCAAGUAGCAGCGGGCCCGUGAAAUCUGCUGUGAAUCUGUCGGGACCACCCGAUAAGCCUGAAUACUCCCUGGUGACCGAUAGCGGACUAGUACCGUGAGGGAAAGGUGAAAAGUACCCCGGGAGGGGAGUGAAAUAGUACCUGAAACCGUGCGCUUACAAUCCGUCAAAGCCUGUGAGUGACUUGUCACUGCGGGUGAUGGCGUGCCUUUUGAAGAAUGAGCCUGCGAGUUAGUGGCAUGUGGCGAGGUUAACCCGUGUGGGGUAGCCGUAGCGAAAGCGAGUCCGAAUAGGGCGUUCCAGUCGCAUGCUCUAGACCCGAAGCGGAGUGAUCUACCCAUGGCCAGGGUGAAGCGACGGUAAGACGUCGUGGAGGCCCGAACCCACUUAGGUUGAAAACUGAGGGGAUGAGCUGUGGGUAGGGGUGAAAGGCCAAUCAAACUCCGUGAUAGCUGGUUCUCCCCGAAAUGCAUUUAGGUGCAGCGUCGCGUGUUUCUCACCGGAGGUAGAGCUACUGGAUGGUCUAGGGGGCCCACAAGCUUACCGAAAUCAGCCAAACUCCGAAUGCCGGUGAGUGAGAGCGCGGCAGUGAGACUGCGGGCGAUAAGGUUCGUAGUCGAGAGGGAAACAGCCCAGAUCGCCAGCUAAGGUCCCUAAGCGUGUACUAAGUGGAAAAGGAUGUGGGGUCGCGAAGACAACCAGGAGGUUGGCUUAGAAGCAGCCACCCUUGAAAGAGUGCGUAAUAGCUCACUGGUCAAGUGAUCCUGCGCCGACAAUGUAGCGGGGCUCAAGUACACCACCGAAGCUGCGGCAUUCAUGCAAGCCCGCUCCUUCCUUACGGGGUUGGAGCCAGGUGUAUGGAUGGGUAGGGGAGCGUCGUGCAGCCAUGGAAGCGUCGGAGUGAUCCAGGCGUGGAGGCUGCACGAGUGAGAAUGCAGGCAUGAGUAGCGAAAGAAGAGUGAGAAACUCUUCCGCCGAAUGACCAAGGGUUCCUGGGCCAGGUUAAUCCGCCCAGGGUGAGUCGGGACCUAAGGCGAGGCCGACAGGCGUAGUCGAUGGACAACGGGUUGAUAUUCCCGUACCCGUGUAAACGCGCCCAUGGUGAAUCAGUGAUACUAACCGCCCUGAAGCCGGCCAUUGUUCCUUCGGGAAUGUGGUCGGGGGAUGCGCGGGACCUGAUCUGGUAGUAGCCAAGCGAUGGGGUGACGCAGGAAGGUAGCUGAGCCAGUCAGUGGUAAUACUGGUGUAAGCGUGUAGGGCGAGUGGUAGGCAAAUCCGCCACUCACAUAGCCUGAGACGUGAUGCAUAGCCGAUUGAGGCGAAUUCAGUGAUCCUAUGCUGCCGAGAAAAGCCUCUAGCGAGCUUUUACACGGCCCGUACCCCAAACCGACACAGGUGGUCAGGUAGAGAAUACUAAGGCGAUCGAGAUAACUAUGGUUAAGGAACUCGGCAAAAUGCCCCCGUAACUUCGGGAGAAGGGGGGCCUCGUCUGGUGAUCCAACUUGCUUGGUGAGCUGGGUGGGGCCGCAGAGACCAGUGAGAAGCGACUGUUUACUAAAAACACAGGUCCGUGCGAAGUCGUAAGACGAUGUAUACGGACUGACGCCUGCCCGGUGCUGGAAGGUUAAGAGGACCGGUUAGCUUUUCGGAGCGAAGCUGAGAAUUUAAGCCCCAGUAAACGGCGGUGGUAACUAUAACCAUCCUAAGGUAGCGAAAUUCCUUGUCGGGUAAGUUCCGACCUGCACGAAUGGCGUAACGACUUCUCAGCUGUCUCAACCAUAGACUCGGCGAAAUUGCAUUACGAGUAAAGAUGCUCGUUACGCGCGGCAGGACGAAAAGACCCCGGGACCUUCACUAUAGCUUGGUAUUGGUGUUCGGUUCGGUUUGUGUAGGAUAGGUGGGAGACUGUGAAGCGGGCACGCCAGUGUUCGUGGAGUCAUUGUUGAAAUACCACUCUGAUCGUAUUGGACAUCUAACCUCGGACCAUGAUCUGGUUCAGGGACAGUGCCUGGUGGGUAGUUUAACUGGGGCGGUUGCCUCCCAAAAUGUAACGGAGGCGCCCAAAGGUUCCCUCAGCCUGGUUGGCAAUCAGGUGUUGAGUGCAAGUGCACAAGGGAGCUUGACUGUGAGACUGACAGGUCGAGCAGGGACGAAAGUCGGGACUAGUGAUCCGGCACCGGCAAGUGGAAGCGGUGUCGCUCAACGGAUAAAAGGUACCCCGGGGAUAACAGGCUGAUCUUCCCCAAGAGUCCAUAUCGACGGGAUGGUUUGGCACCUCGAUGUCGGCUCGUCGCAUCCUGGGGCUGGAGUAGGUCCCAAGGGUUGGGCUGUUCGCCCAUUAAAGCGGCACGCGAGCUGGGUUUAGAACGUCGUGAGACAGUUCGGUCUCUAUCCGCCGCGCGCGUUAGAAACUUGAGGAAGGCUGUCCCUAGUACGAGAGGACCGGGACGGACGAACCUCUGGUGUGCCAGUUGUUCCGCCAGGAGCACCGCUGGUUAGCUACGUUCGGAAGGGAUAACCGCUGAAAGCAUCUAAGCGGGAAGCCUGUUCCAAGAUGAGGUUUCU
rnacentral:rRNA from 1 species